GGAGACACUAAUAAUCUAUUCUCCAGUUUGAUCAAUUUCUAAAUUUCACUUUUGCAUUGAGAUAUUUUUGUUCAAAUCUUCUAGCUAGGGUGUUAAUUAUAACAUUUCAGUAUUUGAGAACACUUCUAGGAUAGUUAGUAUUAAAAGGAUAGUAACAAGACAGCUACCACUUAAUAGUUGAGUACUAGAUUUGAGAAUAAGAGAGGAAAAUUUUUGCCAAGAGUUCUGUCUAGUCCAGGGCAUGCAUUAUACCAUUUCUUCAUAGCAUGUUAUUGCUUCAAAAAAUAUGAUAUACUCUGCAUCUGAACUCCUGAGGAUUGAAAUAAAUAACAGGAAUGAGGAUUGUUAAGUGGUGACUUUUUCAAUCAGAAGGAUAAGUUCAGAUAGUAUAAUUUUAGUAUCAGAUACUAAAAUAUUUAGUCUUGGUGGCUAGUUGGAAGCUUCACCUAAUUGUAUAUGGGCGGCUCAAAAGCAUUGAUGUUUUAAAGUUAGUGUAUCUUUACGUUGAAAAAAUACACUGUUUAGAUUUUUUAUAGUAAUAAUAUUGUCUUGGGGAUAACUGUAGUGUUAAAAGGCUCAAGAAUCAGAACAUAAUGAGCAGUUGAUCAUAGUCCUUAGGUAUCCUUAUUUUUGUACCUAUCCUUGCAUUUUUAAUGAUCUACCACAUUUAUAAGUACUUCCUGAUGAAUACUCUUUAUUCAAAAAGAACCUGAAUUGCCUUUUGGUACCUUACAGUUAAUUUUAAAAUAAUGAAAAAUAUAAAGAAUGCUAUAAAAAUCAUUUUCACUGAAAACUAACAGUUG
rnacentral:lncRNA from 1 species